GCUUACGACCAUACCACCCUGAACACGCCCGAUCUCGGAAGCUAAGCAGGGUCAGGCCUGGUUAGUACUUGGAUGGGAGACCGCCUGGGAAUACCAGGUGCUGUAAGCU
rnacentral:rRNA from 1 species